CUGGACCGAAAUCCCUCCUGGGACAUUGUCAUUUGCAUGGAUUCGACGGAGCCCUCCUCUCCCGAUCCCUAUCCCCCGACGCCAAUGACUCCACCUCGCCGCCACCCUCUCCUCCGGCAAGGUCACCCCGCCCCGUUUCCUCUCCUCUGGCAAGGUCACCACGGCCUGCUCCCUCUCCUCCGGCACGGUCGCCCCAUCCUGCUCCCUCUCCGCCGUCAAGGUCGCCCCCUCCUGCUCCCUCUCCUCCGCCCAUGUCCCACCGUACCCCUCGGGCAAGGUCGCAAGGACACCCCGAUGUCAAGGACGUCAUCCUCGUCCAUCUGCUCUCAUCCAUUGCCGGAUCCAUCCACCCCUUGUCGGAUCCUGAUGUCCAAGCCAUGAACUUCAUCCACCUUCGGCGAAUGAUGUUGGAGAUAAGCAACAAGUAAGUCGAGCAAGCAAUUGGUUGAUGCACUCACUCGAGUAGUGUCCUGAAGUAACCUAUGUGCGUUGUUCAAUGGGUGAGAAGACAAAGACAAGAAAGCGGGCAGCGGUGAUUGUUUGAGCUAGAAGAUGACAUGUUGGCAGUCUAUGACAUCAUGCUCAAGUCGAAUGGAAAAGAAACGGGUCCUCGAGUCAAGCUAUAUGACCUUAAUUGGAUGCAAAUUUUUAGUUUUUAUUGUUGUAAUGCACUUGUGAUUAUAAGCUGCAGUAUUUUAUCUUCCAAACCUUGCUUACUACAAACUUUGAAGCUUAAUGAAGCUUUGUUUUUUUUGUGUUGUACUACAUUUUGUGCUUUAUGGAGAUGGACAUGGUAGUUGUAAUUGAAUUUAAAUAUGUCGAUUUCUGCUUUAUGGUCCUUCAAAGAUCUUAUCA